rnacentral:lncRNA from 1 species
UGCAUCAUUGCAUGUCUAGGAAAGAAGUCAUCAAAGACAUACAGAAGCAUGUGUAUAGCUGCAGAUGCACAUGACUAUUAUCUAUCAGUGGGAGUUGCUACAGUGUUUUCCCUGAACUUCAAGACUACUCAAAAAUACUGUUGAUUAGAAGAGCUUUAACAGAGGAGGCUGGAAGUCUUGGCCUGAGUGACUACUGAAAAGAUACCUGAAAGGUAGGAGACCUUCAUCCAAAUCUCUGCAAUGAAUUCAGGCAUCAAUGAUUUCAGCUCAAUUCUUCCACAUCCCACUUGAUUUUUUUCUAAUCAGUUAGUUGGUCACCAUCAUGAGAGUCUGGUUGGAUGAUCUAAUUGCUUGAUUUUAGGAGAUCUCAUUUGGAAGUAUAGUCCAUUGUC